rnacentral:rRNA from 1 species
UGGGGAAUAUUGCACAAUGGAGGGAACUCUGAUGCAGCGACGCCGCGUGAACGAAGAAGGCUUUCGAGUCGUAAAGUUCUUUUAUAUGGGAAGAUAAUGACGGUACCAUAAGAAAAAGCCCCGGCUAACUACGUGCCAGCAGCCGCGGUAAUACGUAGGGGGCUAGCGUUGUCCGGAAUCACUGGGCGUAAAGGGUUCGCAGGCGGAAAUGCAAGUCAGGUGUAAAAGGCAGUAGCUUAACUACUGUAAGCAUUUGAAACUGCAUAUCUUGAGAAGAGUAGAGGUAAGUGGAAUUUUUAGUGUAGCGGUGAAAUGCGUAGAUAAUAAAAAGAAUACCGGUGGCGAAGGCGACUUACUGGGCUCAUACUGACGCUGAGGAACGAAAGCGUGGGUAGCAAACAGG